GUUCUUGCUUCUCCAGUGCUUUGAAGCCCUAUGACCACACAUUUACCUUCAGUCAAUGCUUCCUUUGCGAUUCUAACUACUGCAGGCACCUUAGCGGAUAUACACAAGUGUCUAAAGAAGCGCUGAUGAUUAGCCCAAUAAAGUCUCCAGAGCUGAUUAGAAGAGGGCUUAUCAUCAGUGAGAAAUGCACCAGCUGACAGCAAUUCCACUCUAAGCUCCGCCCAGAAUUCAGCAGCUUUUUUAUACAAGUCCUGCAUCUGGGCCUCUAAAGGUACUUCAACUACUUCAAACUCUGCACCUUUGUAGCUAAGUGUACGACACACAUACAUACCCCUUGUUUUCAUGUCCAUGGCAACAAGUUCAAGUGCCCCCACACCACCUUUCUCCAUAGCAACUAAGAAGUCACGGAAAUUAAGAAAAGAAGUUCCAGCUCCCCAAAGCCCAAGGCGAACCAUGUAGGCCAUAUUGCGAGGCUCAGAAGCACCAGUUGCUGAACAAUAAACAACACGAGCUUGAGGAAGACGAGCCUGGAUUUCAAGUACAGCUUCACCAGUUCGAGUUGGCUGUCCCCCAGCUUCAGGGACCAAAUUUUUUGCCUUGUGACACUCAUCAAAUAUGACAAGACCA
rnacentral:misc_RNA from 1 species